AUAUCAUGAUGAGGGCAAGCUUCAGUCAACUCAUUUAAUAUUUCUCAUGCUUCAGAAAUUAAUUCCCCAUCCUUUUGACUGAAGUUCUGGAUUAGAUGCCUAUAGU
rfam:Lupinus angustifolius cultivar Tanjil contig_34281, whole genome shotgun sequence.